UGUCUCUCGCCGUAAUUAAAGAACGUGCACAUGACACAAUCCAAUACUCGCGUUAGCUAACUCAAAUCUAAUCAAAACGAAUUUAACCGAAACAUAUGUUUAACAUAUUCUAAACGGGGACUUACAUUCGAUCAACAGUCAAAAUAAUUUGACAUUUCUAAUCGGAAAUUUGAGAAUCGAACAUCUAUAAAAAUAGAAAAAGGGAGAUUACUCUGUGAAGAAUCGCACCGCGCAUAUAACAUUAAGAAAUUAAUAUUCGCGACAUCAAAUUGGCAAACAUUUAGGAAUAGAGCGUAACAGAGUUUACGUGAACCGUCCACGAAAUGAGAGUAUCAAAAUAAUUUCUAUUUAGAAUUGGCAAAGAAUUGUGUGACGAAUUUUUGUUUUAUGACAUCAAAGACGCGGUUGUGUUUCUUCGGUGAAGCAGAGAUCUCGCCUAUUAAGGGGAAUCUAGAACUUAUAUCGUUUACAACGUAAGCGUGUUAGUCUUUUUCAUGAUUAGACCGUGCGUUGAUAACCAUCUUUAAACGCGCGCAAACGGAUAAUAUCGUUGACGAUGAUCGAUUACCUUGAAGGUGGAAGGGAGAAAAAAAAAGAACAUUGACAUAAUACCAGCGUUCCUAGGAUUUCUAACGCUAAUUGGAUUAGGUGAUACCGAUACUUUUGACGCGUUAAGGGGACAUAUACUAGACGUGUACUUAGUCCUUAAGUACGGUUAGCUUAGGAUCCUUACUAUUUUAGGUUACUAUUUCAUACGGUGAAACGUCGUUGCGCGUUUUUUCUUUUCGUCCAACGAAAGUAAGAACACUGACCGAUUUACACUCAUAACGAUGAAAGAAGAAAAAGAAAACAAAAAAAAAGAAUAUUUAAAAAAUACAAAAAAAAAAAAAAGAACAAACGACCAGUAGAAGCAAACAGUAUAAGCUUCCAAAACAAUCAAGUACUACCCAAGCGACUUCUAUUUCUUUGGAACGUGAGAAAUGUAAGAGACGUGAUUACAAACAAAUGACAAACGGACACACACCUUUGAAUACCUUUUCCUUUUUUUCGCACGUAGAAGGAGAACUUAGAGCGAAGAAAUACAACGCGGUUCACAGAUACGAGUAUCGACUGUCUGAUUCAGUCGCGGAAGCGCGAGGAGCUUAAAUAGGCACGUUCUCGGGGUGCGUUUCAGACGCUUACGGACAAGAGAGAAGGAGAAAGACGAGACCGAAAUUUCGGAUACUCCCACGAUGUUCACGUGACGUUUACUGACUCUCGUCCAGAAAUACCACCCGAUGAACAUAUUUAAAUGCCGAGGAGGGGCAGAAUCUCCAAGAGCGUGUAAUCCAACCUCUGAUUCACUGUUUUGAAUAACUUUGGCACGCUGCAUGUGUGGAACUCUUCUGUUUGUCUCCGUAAUUUCAAGGAGACCAAUUUCAAGGAGACUUAAAGGAAACCACUCUCUUUAACGAUCCAAACUUUCUUUUAUUGCGUAGGUUUCCAAGUUUGGAUAUCCCUCCGGGGUGAGAAUAGAUUUGAACGGAAUGGGCGCAAUGUUGUCGCGCCCUGAUGAUUAUUCAAUGUCAGCCUUUGAUGUUAUAUAUCUCAUGAUUACUGCUGCAAAUCGCUGUUUGCUUGUUCUCCAAACUUGUGGUUAGGAAUGCGAUUCCAAUCGUAUAUACCUGCUGGUGAGGAGUUCCAUGCCUCUAACAAUCAGAACGAACGUGUGCACGUGUCGAUUAGAGAGAGUACUCCAUUCGACCGCAUGCAUUUCACGGGUAAUGGAGGGGUACGGGGGAGAUUGUCAUUUUUCAGUUUCGUGUAAUGCGGAGUAUACGAGGUCGAACUCUGCGUUAGAGAAACACCCAAGUGUAUUUUUCAAUAUAUUUCGAGGGAAUCGUUCGAGUACGAACAAUCGCUCGAGAUCAGCUUGCACUCUUAUCGCAGGUCGAGACAAUUCCGACACUCGUGAGACUAAUCUCCUGGUGUGUGUGUGUAUACUGUAAUUGCGAGUUCUAAAUGAGAACAACUUUAUGCUAUUAAAAUUGUUACUCGAAAUAGGCUCGAAAAAAGAAGAAUGU